AAACUAACAAGGAUUCCCCUAGUAGCGGCGAGCGAAGCGGGAAGAGCUCAAAUUUGUAAUCUGGCGUCCUCAGGGCGUCCGAGUUGUAAUCUAUAGAGACGUUUUCCGUGCCGGACCGUGUCCAAGUCCCUUGGAACAGGGUAUCAAAGAGGGUGACAAUCCCGUACUUGACACGACGACCGGUGCUCUGUGAUACGUUUUCUACGAGUCGAGUUGUUUGGGAAUGCAGCUCAAAAUGGGUGGUAAAUUCCAUCUAAAGCUAAAUAUAGGCGAGAGACCGAUAGCGAACAAGUACCGUGAGGGAAAGAUGAAAAGCACUUUGGAAAGAGAGUUAAACAGUAUGUGAAAUUGUUGAAAGGGAAACGAUUGAAGUCAGUCAUGUCCAUUGGAUUCAGCUGGUUCUGCCAGUGUAUUUCCUUUGGACGGGUCAACAUCAGUUUGAGCCGGCGGAUAAUGGCAGAGGGAAUGUGGCACCCCCGGGUGUGUUAUAGCCCUUUGUCGCAUACGUCGGCCCAGACUGAGGAAUGCAGCUCGCCUUUAUGGCCGGGGUUCGCCCACGUACGAGCUUAGGAUGUUGGCAUAAUGGCUUUAAACGAC
rnacentral:rRNA from 1 species